rnacentral:rRNA from 1 species
AUUGAACGCUGGCGGCAUGCCUUACACAUGCAAGUCGAACGGUAACAGGUCUUCGGAUGCUGACGAGUGGCGAACGGGUGAGUAAUACAUCGGAACGUGCCUAGUAGUGGGGGAUAACUACUCGAAAGAGUGGCUAAUAACGCAUGAGAUCUACGGAUGAAAGCAGGGGAUCGCAAGACCUUGUGCUACUAGAGCGGCCGAUGGCAGAUUAGGUAGUUGGUGGGAUAAAAGCUUACCAAGCCGACGAUCUGUAGCUGGUCUGAGAGGACGAUCAGCCACACUGGGACUGAGACACGGCCCAGCCUCCUACGGAGGCAGCAGUGGGGUAUUUUGGACAAUGGCCGCAAGCCUGAUCCAGCAAUGCCGCGUGCAGGAUGAAGGCCUUCGGGUUGUAAACUGCUUUUGUACGGAACGAAAAGCCCCGGGUUAAUACCCUGGGGUCAUGACGGUACCGUAAGAAUAAGCACCGGCUAACUACGUGCCAGCCGCCGCCGUAA